CAGGUCCGGCUUUGUGGAUGCCACGUACAGGCCCCCAGGCACCAAGGGAAACCUGGGGCGGUCGUUCUUCUCUCCUUGGAAAUGCACUCCAGCGACUGCAGUGCCAAUGGCCCGUGCUCCCAGCAAUGCCCGUCAAAGACUUCUGACCCUGGGAGCUGGUUCCCAGCCAGUCCUAACCGGCUCUGAACCAUGAGCACCAGAGGGAGGUUAAGGCGGACAGGGCCAGGACGCCUUUCUAGGAGUCAGAAGGGGUGCGAUUCCAAGCAACCCACAUCAGCUGCCAUUUUGGAAGCCUUGGCUCCUCGUGCGGAUUCAACUAGACAAAGGGGACAGCCAAGGUCAUGACUGUCACGGUCUGGGAGCCCCACGCCAAGGACAGGGAGGCCAGAGCGCCAGGCCGGGAGCAGCCGCUGCCUUGCUGUGACAUCUUGAGCAACGGGCUUCGUCUCUGCCACUGCGGAAUUUCCUCAUCUCAAGAAUACGGAAGUUGGACAGAUGGUCUCCAGGGUGGCUUUGUGUUUCGAAUAUAUGGGAUAAUACUCGAUGGUUCUGGAUGUUUGCCUGUCUGUUUUACGGAAGUGCCAUUUUUAUAGGAGGGAAAAAGUCACAUUCAAGUGUAGACUCGUGAUGCAGAGGCAUCGGACGGUCCUGGAACGCUGCCCGGGCCCCAGACACCUGGGCUUCUGCCUCAACCCCUCGGAGCUCCGUGCCUCCGCCUCUCAGCAUGGGGAGUUCUGGAGGCCUGGAAGAUUCCAGAGGCUUCGAGGAACCACAGCUUCCACUCUGGGACAGGGCCUCCCAAAACAAGCUGGGCACAAUGCAUCAGGCCGUGGGCAUGGAUACGAAACAGAAGGUGCAACCCCCACAAACCGCUCGAAUGCCCAGAGACCUUCCUUUGCUGGUCCCCAAACGCAGCGUCUAAUCAUCCGCUGGGCAGAGGAAGUUCAAGCACAGGUUCCGCCGCUCAGCCCCCGUAUAACCUCAAGCAAGUACUUCACUUCUUUGAACAGGCCUCUUGUUUUCUUUUCCACAUAAAAACGGAAAUACCACCACCGACGGCACAAAAUUCUUGCAAAGACUACAUAAGAAGGUCGAAGGGAUGGAAGAAACUCUGCAAAUAUCGGUUGUGCCCCGUGCUGUCCCAUCCGCAGUAAAUCUCGGAGCGACCUUUCAGAAAACUCAUCAGCGGUCCCCGGCGCUGAGUCACUCCUGUGGCAUGGCCUGCGGGCUAACCUCUCAGAAUGACACCUUCUGACCUUCCUGAUACAGAAUGGCACGUGUGAGAUUCCACUGCGUGGCAUCACCAAGCAUGGGGAGGGCAAGACUGGGAUUUGGGGGAACAUCAGAAGAGACCAGAAAACACUCAUGUCCACCAGGGUGACCAAAAAGACAGUGACCAGGGAUCAGAUGUGGCACCAGACAAGAGCUGUGAGCCCCCAUCCGGGGCCUGGCCACCUUCCCAAAGCAGCCUGUGUCCAGCUUCAUUUGAACUGUUGCCAUCACUAAGGACACUUUGAGAGAACACUCCCUACCCCAAAUUCAUGCUCCUACAACGGAGACAGGCUGGAUAAUAAGAAGGACAAAGGAUCAGGGGUCUCUCUCCCACCAAAGUCCAUCCCACGACCUGAACCUCACACCUUUAGUUCCUGUCUUCCCACAGUGCUUCCUUGCUGGUGUGCUUUCUGUCUAUUCUGGGCCAGGAACUUGUAGCUACUGUAGCUUAUUUGACCUUCGGAAGAAUCCUGGAAGAGAAGUAUUUUUAUUUUCAUUUUGUAAUCGAAUAAACCAACGUCUUACCGCUAACAAGACACAGAACUGGUUUGGACCUGAUGUCCUGUCUCAGGAAGGCUAAUGCAUUUCCUCCCGACUCCAGGCCAUCCUCCAAACCUCCAUGAAUCAAGGCUCAGCCUGGGUUCAUCCCUCCAGCCCGGAUGGGGAGCCACCCCGCUCUGUCUGGUGGGCCAGACGCCUCACUCCUUGCUGUCUCCUGGGAGACACAGCCCCCUCCCCACCAAUCCCAUCUUCCCUCCCCCUGGGCUGGCCCACUCCCCACCUCCCCGGCUGUUCUUGCU
ensembl:lncRNA